rnacentral:rRNA from 1 species
AUGCGGUAUUACCCUGUCGUUCCAAGUAAAUUUGCAUGUGCCACCUCUAAAAUUUCAAAUGAACAUCUUUUUUGUGUGCCUGGACCACUCAUGGAGCAACAGGGGGAGGUCAGUAUCUUUCAUGCUAAGCGGGUUAUUCUCAUGAUGAGUGUUUAUUCAUUCGUUCUUGCACGAGAGGGGCUGGUAAUAGGGAUACCAGUCUCGAAAUCAAAAAUUGCAAAUAAUAAAAAACUCCCCCGAGACUGUUGUUGGUAUGGAAGGCACCCAUGGAUUUGGUUAGCCAUGGCUUGUGUUUGUUGGUGGAGAGGAGUAAACUUUAUUUUUAUUGCUUGGGAACCGCCGCUUAUGUGUUUAGCAUGGAAGAUAUUGAUAACUCUUAGUUGUGACGUUGACAGGAAAGGUGCACCUCCCAAAGUUAUAUUUAUCUAUGAUUUAAGCUUUGAGCUCUGGCCCUCGGCAAAUCCCUGCUUUCCUCUGUGA